AAUGAACGCUGGCGGCAGGCCUAACACAUGCAAGUCGAACGGAUCCUUCGGGAUUAGUGGCGGACGGGUGAGUAACGCGUGGGAACGUGCCCUUUGGUUCGGAGUAGCCUCGGGAAACUGGGAGUAAUACCGGAUAAGCCCUUCGGGGGAAAGAUUUAUCGCCAAAGGAUCGGCCCGCGUUGGAUUAGGUAGUUGGUGGGGUAAUGGCCUACCAAGCCGACGACCCAUAGCUGGUUUGAGAGGAUGAUCAGCCACACUGGGACUGAGACACGGCCCAGACUCCUACGGGAGGCAGCAGUGGGGAAUCUUAGACAAUGGGGGAAACCCUGAUCUAGCCAUGCCGCGUGAUCGAUGAAGGCCUUAGGGUUGUAAAGAUCUUUCAGUUGGGAAGAUAAUGACGGUACCAACAGAAGAAGCCCCGGCUAACUCCGUGCCAGCCGCCGCCGUAA
rnacentral:rRNA from 1 species